AGUGAGGACUUCCCCGCUCCCGUCCGACCCACAAUUCCAACCUGGAAAAGAGGUAAUGCCCUUCAGAGCCAACUCAAGGCCUUUACGGUACUGCAGCCCGUAUUCCUGGAACUCGAUGGUGCCUCUCUGGGGCCAAGCCAGUGGCAAGGAGCUGCCUUCGAUGGUCCAACUCGCCUGAACGUGACAAUAAGAAAGUAGAGAAUGGCAGCAGCUAAGACCACACCAUUACCAAUAAACUCCAGAUUGACUGCCAACCACCUGCGGAUGUAACAUCGAUUUAGCUGUGGGCAGGCAAGUACCAAAAUGUGUCCCCAUUACUGAAGCCAGAAGUCAUUUUGUGUAACCAUGUAACAUAAAGCAAUCUCAGCAACUCUCUGAACUAUGAAUCACCGCCAUCCCUCAUGAAGUGUAACUGAUGUAUAAAUGAAAUGAAAGCACAUUAUAAUAAUGACAUAUCAUCU